GAUGAACGCUGGCGGCGUGCCUAAUACAUGCAAGUAGAACGCUGAAGGAAGGAGCUUGCUCUUUCCGGAUGAGUUGCGAACGGGUGAGUAACGCGUGGGUAACCUGCCUGGUAGCGGGGGAUAACUAUUGGAAACGAUAGCUAAUACCGCAUAACAGUAGAUGUUGCAUGAUAUCUACUUAAAAGGUGCAAUUGCACCACUACCAGAUGGACCUGCGUUGUAUUAGCUAGUUGGUGAGGUAACGGCUCACCAAGGCGACGAUACAUAGCCGACCUGAGAGGGUGAUCGGCCACACUGGGACUGAGACACGGCCCAGACUCCUACGGGAGGCAGCAGUAGGGAAUCUUCGGCAAUGGACGGAAGUCUGACCGAGCAACGCCGCGUGAGUGAAGAAGGUUUUCGGAUCGUAAAGCUCUGUUGUAAGAGAAGAACGAGUGUGAGAGUGGAAAGUUCACACUGUGACGGUAUCUUACCAGAAAGGGACGGCUAACUACGUG
rnacentral:rRNA from 1 species